GGCCUCGAACUUAACCCAAAAACCUAGAUUCCAGUACAUCAAUAAAAACGCUAGCUUUUGUUUUGUAUCUUGAAUUGAAACGUCAAACUAUUUCAAAAAUGUCCACACAAAGCCGUUACACAACGUAAAUAUUAUAAAUUGCGAUGUUUUUAUUGUUAAUUGUUAUAAAUUACAAUAAAAACCAGGAACUUUAUUGAGCUAUAUUAAUGAAUUAUGGAAAGAGAUGAGGUCGACAAAACAAAUGAUGCGGGGACUUCGAACGUCAUAGAUUCUAGCGGUGCUGUGAAUUCUUUGAUACUCGAUUAUUACAAAAAGUUUGGUAGGAAGAGGGAUUUAGAGCAGUAUUUCUCUUUAUCUACGGCUCAGAGUGAUAUAAAAGACACAAGUGGUUUGUUUUGGCGUAAAAUGAAGAGUGAAAAUGAUUCUUCUGAUUCCGGUGGUAGAAAAAGUGAUUCUUCUCAAGAAGUUUGCAGAAUCUCCAUAAGGUGCUCGCUGCCUGAACCUAUGAGUUCACAGGAUGAUGAGGAACAAAAAACAAAGACUGAUUCCCCGCACACAGAAUCUCCUCCGAUCAUCAUUGAGGAAUUACCCGCUGAUGUAUCAAGACAGACUGAUGAUGAAUCCUUACACUUUGAUGACAAUAACUCACAGAAAUCAUUAGAUACACUUCUCGACAUAUCUGCUCACAAACCGCUUUCCCCAACAAGUAGUAUAACUUCUCAGAGAAAACUAGAAUGGGACUCACUUGCUGAUGUAGGAUACGGCAAUGAAAGUGACAGAAAGAACUCAGCAUCAAGCCUUAGCACUUUAGAAAGACUCGCUUUAAAACAACAAUAUUCCAACAAUGAUUCGAAACAAGAAAUUGGUAUACCCACUUCCCAUUCCACUCCGCUUGAUGAAAAUGAGAACAAAUCUAAAAUUAAAAAAGGCAUAGGAAAGAAAACAAAGUUUUAUAAAAAAGAUGUUGAUUUCGUUGAAGUGAAUGUUCCACAUACUUCUGACGCAAAUCCUCCUCCGUCCAUCAAUGUCAAUCUUACUAAACACAUUUCUUUCAAUGUUGAAAGAGAUGGUGGUGUUACUAUUGAUAAUGUUAAGAAGGAUGUCAGUGUUUCAUCUCCCGAAAAAGUCAGUGUAGACACAUCUUAUGUAGGCAUGGAUAAAGAAAUACAAACUACAUUGCCUUUAAACAAACCAAAGGAGAAGUCAAGCAGUCCAGAUGAAGCCCCAAAACCAGUUGAUCCUUACAAUCAGAAGAUUCCAGUAAUGAUCAGCUUAAAUACGUUAAGAAAGAGAUUGAGAAAGAAAAAGGCAAGGAGUGUGAGAAGAAAAUUAAGAACUAGAAAGCAGAAAGAGGUUAAUAAGGAUGAGACACCACAAGAGAAAAGUGGAGCUCAGUUGUCAGAAGCGGAGAGUUUUGAAUACAUGCCUGGGCAUGUGUAUAAUCAGAAUAAGCUAAAAGACAAUGCACCAAGGCUGGACAAUAGUGCUGCUGGGAACAAAUCCAGCCUAGAGUCCAGCGGUCUCACUACAGAUUCUAGUAAAGGAUCCAAACAUUCCAUCACCAAAGACUUAGAACAAUGUGUUGAGCUAUUAAAACAUACUUUGCAAAAGCGCUAUGACGAUGGAGAUAUGAAGAGAAAGCUGAUAAAAGAUAUUGUCGACAGAUUAGUCAGUUCAAAGUAUAGAAAUGAUUAUAAUUCUGACUUUUUGUCUGGUGUCAGCAGUAAGAGAAUGGGUAUGAUAGGAAAUAAUACUACAACAAGCACUUCUGAUGCUAAUAACACUGAAGAUAGUUCAAAUAAAAAGCCAAAGAAAUCUAUUCUACGAAGCGAAAAAUUCAACCCUAAUGUUGUAGCUUCAACGUCUCAAAGUGCCCCAAACUUAUUCAGUGCGUCUAUUGAAAAGGUUACUUCAAACUUAAUUAAGCCUGUAGCUUCUAAUACUGAAUCAGAUGUGUCUAGUAAAGAAAAGACUUCUUCGGAAAAUGGUUUCCCUAAAACUUCAUCUGAAGAACUGUAUUUAAAGUACCUAGAAGCUCUUAGACGUGAAGAAGCUUACAAAAAGCAUUUGAAGGAUAAAGAAAUGUUCUUGAAACAGAAAUUAGUGAAGUCUGAUACAUCUUUCAAAGUACCUGUACGCCAAGAAGCGAAAAUUAAUAGUCGAUUGAAAGAUUUGAUGAAAGACUUGACAAGAAACAACUAUGAUGAUGGAUCAGGAGAUGCUAGUAAAUUAGAAGGGGGCUCUUCUAUCAAUUUGGACAUAGACAGGUUAAGUGCCAUACGAAACCAAAGAAGUCACUCUGUGUUUACUCUUUCCUCGAGUCAAUCUGAUGCCCCUAAGCGGCCGAAUCUGAAAAAGAAAUUGCAGGCUGAAAGGGAAAUAGAAGAAGCUGGUCCAAGUCAAAGUCAUUAUUGUUGUUGUCCUCACCAUUACUUAAACACCAAACCGGAGUUUUCAGACAGUUCUGUUCAGGUGAAUAUUAAAAAUUGUGGCGACGAUAUUCCAGUUGAAAUACCUUGCCCGAGUAAAGGAAAAAGUUGUUUGAUAAUGCCAGGCGAUAGCAAGAAAUCCAAAUCGGAAUGCCCCAAAAAUACUCGCGUUGUUCCCGACAGUCAUACGAGUGACAUUAAGUACGUUUGUCUCUGUGGUGGUAAACAAGUUUGUGCGUCUGAAGUGGGCGAUAAUUUUAUGAUAUACAGGUGUUCUAAAUUGACCAAUUGUGGCAUACAGCCCGAAAAUCCUUUGAGAAUCAAUAAUACUGCUAUUCAAUGUGGAUGUUGUGACAUUAAAGAUGAUAAAAUUGAAUUACUACAACCGCCCUGUAAGAUGAAUACUUGUACAGAUAGCAGUUGUUCGGAUCAUACGUCAAAUCCUCAGAAACAUUCGAAAUCUUCUCAAACGAACAUGCUCAUUAAUAUGUGCAUGAGUAACUUCAAAUCUUCGAGUUCCGAAAUAAAAUUAUGUGGAACCGCCACUAAAAGUAUUGUGUGUCCGAAAAAAUACUUUGUAUCUGAAGCCACUAGAUGCCUUCAGACCGAGAUUAGUAUUAACCCUCAAAUCGCUGAUCCUAGGUUAUCUGACAUCAAUAUUAUUUGUAACAACGAAUGCGCUAGACUUGUUUGUGAGCAACGUAGAAGAGUUUCUGCGUUCAGUAUUGAAUCGGAAGGAGGAAAAACGUUCAGCGAUGUCAGUACUAACAGCACAUCAGACAAACUUUUAAUACAGUCUGGAGGUAGUUGUUGUAAAUCAGAAAUAUUAUCUAAACAAGGAAGCGAAGAUAAAGACUCUAAAAAAAGCUCAAUGAUCGGAAAAGAUUAUACAAUACCCAUUGUUGGUACUAAUAUGACUUUGACAGUUAAUUUGGGCCCUGAUUAUGUUGAAAAUGCCGGCCCAGUUGAAGCAGGCGUGGUUACUGAGAAGAUAUCACAAGCUGAUCAAGAAACGUUAGCGAUUGGUGAAGUGUCAAGAUCUGCUCAAUGUUGCCUGAACCCAGAGUGCACAAAAAAUUCUAAAACAGAUUCUGCGGUUUCGUCCAAAACCUGCUGUUUAAAUAAUAAGUCUUCUGGCAUUACUUUUAAUACGUAUCCGGCUGAAAAAGUGAAGGCAAAAACUCCUUUCUUAAGAUCAAAUACAGAUAUAGACAAAAGAUUAUCAAUAAACACGUGCAUUCAAACUGAUGAGAUUCGAACAAAAGAUAUGGAAACUAAUAACAAUCAAGAAACUGGAAUAUAUAGCAACUCAUCAGUUAACACUUCCGACAAUAGUAGUCAAGUAGAGGACCAGGUACAAACCGUCAACGUAGCACUAACAAAAGGAUUCAGAAUUGGUAGAAAUACAAAAGAUAAUAAUAAAACGGAUAGUAACAGACCUGAAAGUGGAAAAGCCGAUUGUUGUAGCUCGAAACGUAAAAACACGGAUGGUAGUACAAUAGGAAGUACAAAAAGCAAUAAGAAUGAAUCAAAAACUGACAGUGGCAAGGCGGAUGGCUGUAGUUCGAAAAACAAAAAAACGGACAGUAGCAAACCGGACAGUGCAAGAAGCAAUAAGAGUGAAUCAAAAAGUGAUAGUGAUAAAGCCGAUUGUUGUAGGUCGAAAAAUAAAAAUGCGGAUAGUAGCCAAACUGAUAGUACAAGAAGUAAUAAGAAUGAACCAAGAUAUGAAAGUGGCAAAGGCGAUUACUAUAGUUCGAAAAAUAAAAAGAGUGACAGUAGCAGCCCAAACAGUCCAAGAAGUAAUAAAAAUAAAUCGCUGAAUAGAAUUGACAAAGUAAAUGUAGGUGUACAAAAAGAUUUACCAACUGAACGAGUUAAAACAAAAAAUGUCGACGUGGAAACUAAUGAUAUACCCACAAAAAAUGUAAGCAUUGAAACUGAGAAUAGAGAAGAAUCUGGCUCAAAUGCGUGUUGUCAGACGGAAGAUAAAGAAAAGCCUUCUUCCCAAGAAAAACACAGGAUCCAUGAAGAGAAAGAAAAGGUCAAUAUUCUGAACAAUACUGAUCAACCCUUUGGCAAUGAGCCAAAAGAUAGAAAUUUACCUGAAAGUUGUUGUUUCAAUGUCAACUGUCCUCAUAAUUUUGAUUCCAAAGGACCCAUCAUAGACAUGAUACAAGACAUAACACGACGAUAUUCCAAAAAAGACAUGAUAAAGAUUAAAAAGAACAAAUGCUUUUCGGAAAUAAUUACAGUACUGAACUAUCUUUUGGAGACAGACGAUAGUACAGAUCCGGAACGAAAGACUUGUUGUAGCACGAGUACGGAUACGAAAUUAAGUUCAGACAAGGGAAAGAGGAGUAAACUGUCUGAGUGUUGUUCGGAUCAAAUGGUGGAUAAAAGCGUUCAGCUUUCGUGCACGAAAUCUAAAGUGACUCGAGUAUGCACGGAUUCCUCCGAUCUCCCUUGUUCUUCAGACUUACCUACGACUUCAUCAGAUUCCGCUGCCUGCAAAGUACUAAACAAGAUCAAGAAGGAAUGCGAGAAAUUUCACCAAAAAGUCAAAUGCAAGGGCAGAAAAUGUGAAGUUUCCAGCAGCACUUCUGUCAACUGCGAAAGAUGCAAGAAAAUUCACCAUUGUGCCUGCAGGACCCACAAGUGUAAACGAUCGAAGGCCUUUGAGAAGUUGCAGAAGAAAUGUAUCGCUUACAACUUGAUUAUACAGACUUCGGAGAGUAUGUUGAGCGAGGAAACAGUUUGUGAGAACAAAAGUCGUCCUCUUAAGAAUAUUAUUUUGAAAGUCCCGAAAAAAGGGAAGAAGGAGGGUUGUUAUAAAGUGGAACAAGAAUGUCGACGGCCGAGUCCAGUAUGCAGUCCAAAAUGUAGUAAAAAUAGGCCGAGGAGUUGUUGCCACGAGAGCGAAACAUCUGAUGAAUAUGCCAAGAGAAUGGAGAUGGCGACUGUUAGAGAAUAUUUGGAACAGAAUCGCCCGGACUUUGUGAAGAAGACAUCUCAAAGGCAGGAUUGUUUGAAGUUCAUCAGUGAAAAAAGACAUGUACGAGACCGAUACAUCCCAAGUUUGAAAAUGGUCGUUGUACACAAACCUAGAUGUAUGGGUAAUGUGUCAUCUGCCCCUGUUUACUGUGGAGGUAUGUGCUACAAAAGUUGUGAUUCAGUUGAGUCAUGUAUCCCCUAUGCGAGCGCUCCCUGUGUAUCAUGUAAUCCAUGUGAACUUACCAAGCCGUGCAUGCCAACCAAUACGUGCAAAUGCACACCAAAUCCUUGCGAUCCUUGCAAUCCUUGCUACGGUUCUUGUAAACCUUGUGUCGAUCCUUGUAACAUGCGUUCCUUGCAAACUAUUGAGCCAGUGAACGGGCAUCAAAACGAGACUUGUUAUCGAUGCACGUGGAAAAACAACCAGAUUUAACGAAGCUCACUUCUGAGGAGCUACAGCAACUUGCCAAGGAUAUCGGAUUUGAUUUGCGAAACAAAAGAACUGCCCCAAAAUUCAUUAAUGAACGUGAAAUGAAAAAACAUUCGGAGAAGAUUUACAAAACUUUGCCAGAAGUGGUGCAAAAGAAGG